rnacentral:tRNA from 1 species
GCGGGAGUAGCUCAGACUGGUAGAGCGUCUGCCUUCCAAGCAGACGGUCGCGGGUUCGAAUCCCGUCUCCCGCU